GACGAACGCUGGCGGCGUGCUUAACACAUGCAAGUCGAACGAUGAAGCAAAGAAUUGAAGCUUCGGCAGAAAUUCAUUUCGGAUUAGUGGCAGACGGGUGAGUAACGCGUGAGCAACCUACCUCUUACAAAGGGAUAGCCUCGGGAAACCGGGAGUAAUUCCAUAUAACAUUGCGACGAAGCAUUUCGAUGCAAUCAAAGCUACGGCGGUAAGAGAUGGUCUCGCGUCCCAUUGAUCAGAUGGUGAGGUAACGGCUCACCAUAGUAACGAUGGGUAACCGGGCGGAGAGGGUGAACGGUCACACUGGAAAUGAGACACGGACCAGACUCCUACGGGAGGGAGCAGUGGGGAAUAUUGCAGGAUGGAGGGAACUGCGAUGAAGCCACGCCGCGGGAGUGAUGAAGGAAUUCGUUUCGUAAAACUCUGUUCUAUGGGAAGAAAAUGACGGUACCAUAGGAGAAAGCACCGGCUAAAUACGUG
rnacentral:rRNA from 1 species